UAGUCAUAUGCUUGUCUCAAAGAUUAAGCCAUGCAUGUCUAAGUAUAAACUGCUUAUACGGCGAAACUGCGAAUGGCUCAUUAAAUCAGUUAGAGUUUAUUUGAUGGUACCUUACUACUCGGAUAACCGUAGUAAAGCUACAGCUAAUACGUGCGCAGAUCCCGACUCACGAAGGGACGUAUUUAUUAGAUUCAAGACCGACCGUGCUUGCACGCUCUUGGUGAAUCAUGGUAACUUCACGAAUCGCACGGCCUCGUGCCGGCGAUGUUUCAUUCAACUUUCUGCCCUAUCAACUUUCGACGGUAGUAUAGAGGACUACCGUGGUAGUAACGGGUGACGGAGAAUUAGGGUUCGAUUCCGGAGAGGGAGCCUGAGAAACGGCUACCACAUCCAAGGAAGGCAGCAGGCGCGCAAAUUACCCAAUCCUGACACAGGGAGGUAGUGACAAAAAAUAUCAAUACUGGGCCUCAUGGUCCGGUAAUUGGAAUGAGUACAAUCUAAAUCCGUUAACGAGGAUCCAUUGGAGGGCAAGUCUGGUGCCAGCAGCCGCGGUAAUUCCAGCUCCAAUAGCGUAUAUUUAAGUUGUUGCAGUUAAAAAGCUCGUAGUUGGAUUUCGGGUGGGCUGCGCCGGUCUCCUAACGGUUGUACUGGCGACGCCUGCCUUGCUGCCGGGGACGGGCUCCUGCCUUCACUGUCGGGACCCGGAAUCGGCGACGUUACUUUGAGUAAAUUAGAGUGUUCAAAGCAAGCCUACGCUCUGAAUAUAAUAGCAUGGGAUAACACGACAGGACUCUGGCCUAUCGUGUUGGUCUGUAGGACCAGAGUAAUGAUUAAGAGGGACAGUCGGGGGCAUUCGUAUUCCGUUGUCAGAGGUGAAAUUCUUGGAUUUACGGAAGACGAACAUCUGCGAAAGCAUUUGCCAAGGAUGUUUUCAUUGAUCAAGAACGAAAGUUGGGGGCUCGAAGACGAUUAGAUACCGUCGUAGUCUCAACCAUAAACGAUGCCGACUAGGGAUUGGCGGAAGUUCUUUUGAUGACUCCGCCAGCACCUCAUGAGAAAUCAAAGUUUUUGGGUUCCGGGGGGAGUAUGGUCGCAAGGCUGAAACUUAAAGGAAUUGACGGAAGGGCACCACCAGGCGUGGAGCCUGCGGCUUAAUUUGACUCAACACGGGAAAACUUACCAGGUCCAGACAUGCGAAGGAUUGACAGAUUGAAAGCUCUUUCUUGAUUGUAUGGGUGAACACCACUGCCCAGCAGAGCGAGGCGAAAGCUUGCGCUAGUCGACCCUUGUCCGCUAUUGCGAGGGCAAGGUCAGGCAAGACCGUUGAAUUGCGGGAAACUCCUAAAGCUCGUGACACCAUGGCAUGCGGGUGACCGACGUGCCGGCCAGGGUAAUGACCUCGGACGGUAAAAGCUCACGAGAUGCACCAAUGGACAAUCCGCAGCCAAGCUUCCUCUGUUUUUAUAGAGGUAGAAGGUUCAGAGACUAAGUAGCGGUCGGUCUCUCUGCUUCCAAAGUACGAGAGGCUUAAGAUAUAGUCCGGCUCUAUCGAAAGAUAGCCACAAGAUGAAAGGCGCUAGCAGCGCCAGGAGCUUGUGGGAGCUGAUGGCCCCAGCGAGGGCCAUCUAGCUUGGAAUUCGUGGGUGGUGCAUGGCCGUUCUUAGUUGGUGGGUUGCCUUGUCAGGUUGAUUCCGGUAACGAACGAGACCUCAGCCUGCUAAAUAGGUUCGUCUGCUCCGGCAGUCGACUAUCUUCUUAGAGGGACUGUUGGCGUCUAGCCAAUGGAAGUAUGAGGCAAUAACAGGUCUGUGAUGCCCUUAGAUGUUCUGGGCCGCACGCGCGCUACACUGACACGUUCAACAAGUUCCUUGUCCGAAAGGUCUGGGUAAUCUUUGAAACCGUGUCGUGAUGGGGAUAGAACAUUGCAAUUAUUGUUCUUCAACGAGGAAUGCCUAGUAAGCGCGAGUCAUCAUCUCGCGUUGAUUACGUCCCUGCCCUUUGUACACACCGCCCGUCGCUCCUACCGAUUGAACGUGCUGGUGAAGAGUUAGGACUGGACUGUUGGCUAGGUUUCCUGGUCGGCAGUUCGGGAAUUUCUUUAAACCCUCCCGUUUAGAGGAAGGAGAAGUCGUAACAAGGUCUCCGUUAAAGAAUCAUUCUAUAUUCACCAGCGGACCAGAGAGCCCCCGGUGCGCGGCGCUCUAGUGGCCUCUCUGCCUGGUAACCCUGACGCGGAGAGGUCGCAACACUGUCAAAUUGCCGGAACGUCUUGCUAAGCCAACGGUACCACCGCGGCUGCGAAAGCAGCUGUCGGGCCUUCCCAAAGGAUGGUAACAAUCUGUUGGAUAGAGUCAAUCGGCAGCCAAGCCCUGAGGCAGAGUGCUGCGUGCAGUACAGCCCUGGGUGCAGUCCACAGACUAGACGGCAGUGGGUCUGGCUUCUACAAGGCCAGGCUUAAGAUAUAGUCGGCCCCUACUGGAAAGUAGUCUCCGAGAGGAAGAGGUAGGGCUCUGAGAGCUCGGAGAAGUGGACGGUAAUAGAACCGGGCGUGAGCUCUGGUUCGGCUGUUCUAUAACACACGUCUAUAAGAUUUGUUCUAUAAGAAUUGUUAUAUAAGACAUUCUCUUAUAGAAGAUCUUGUGUACAGGUUUCUUAUACAACAGCCCGUCCUACUGGAUCAUGCGAGGUGAACCUGCGGAGGGAUCAUUGAAACCAUCAUGUCCACUCGCGAACCACAACCCAGUACGCCUGGCGUAGCCCCCGCGCUGCGUCCUCCUCCGAGUGGGAACUCGGUUGAGGAGGGAGUGCGCCACCUUCGGGUGUCUGCCUCCCUUAGGCCAGAUCCAUUUUUCUCACCAGACCAAACCAAUUGACUGAAGAUUGACGUGCGUGAGGCCUCCUCACCGCGACUAACAGAGAUAACUCUCAACAACGGAUAUCUUGGCUCUCGCAACGAUGAAGAACGCAGCGAAAUGCGAUACGUAGUGUGAAUUGCAGAAUUCCGUGAAUCAUCGAAUCUUUGAACGCAUAUUGCGGUCGAGCCUCGGUUCGACCAUGUCUGCCUCAGCGUCGGAGUAAACCCUCACCCCACCAGGUGUCAACCUGGCGGAGUGGACCUGACUUCCCGAGCGGCCUGCCCCGUCAGCGGCGCUCGGCUAGUUGAAAUGAAGAGGACGACGCGCGGGCCUGUAUGGCACCGGCUAGGUAGGUAGCUCGACUACUCCUGCCGAAGCCUUGGGCGCGACGCGCGUCCCGCAGGAAACCUACUCUCUUCUCGACCUGAGCUCAGGCAAGG
rnacentral:rRNA from 1 species